UACCAGCUCUUCGAGUGGUGUGGAUGUUUAUUGGCCUAAAGCAUCCGUAGCUGGCUGGGCAAGUCCCCUGUUAAAUCCACCGAUUUAAUCGUUGGAGUGCGGGGGAUACUGUUCGGCUAGGGGACGGGAGAGGCAGACGGUAUUUUCGGGGUAGGGGUGAAAUCCUAUAAUCCCGGGAAGACCACCAGUGGCGAAGGCUGUCUGCUAGAACGCGCCCGACGGUGAGGGAUGAAAGCUGGGGGAGCGAACCGGAUUAGAUACCCGGGUAGUCCCAGCUGUAAACGAUGCAGGCUAGGUGUUUGGGCGGCCACGUGCCGCUCUAGUGCCGCAGGGAAGCCGUUAAGCCUGCCGCCUGGGGAGUACGGCCGCAAGGCUGAAACUUAAAGGAAUUGGCGGGGGAGCACCACAAGGGGUGAAGCUUGCGGUUU
rnacentral:rRNA from 1 species